rnacentral:rRNA from 1 species
UACGAAGGGGGCUAGCGUUGCUCGGAAUUACUGGACGUAAAGCGCACGUAGGCGGUCUUUUAAGUCGGGGGUGAAAUCCUGGAGCUCAACUCCAGAACUGCCUUCGAUACUGGAAGACUUGAGUCCGGGAGAGGUGAGUGGAACUGCGAGUGUAGAGGUGAAAUUCGUAGAUAUUCGCAAGAACACCAGUGGCGAAGGCGGCUCACUGGCCCGGUACUGACGCUGAGGUGCGAAAGCGUGGGGAGCAAACAGG